GUGAACGCUGGUGGUAGGCCUAACACAUGCAAGUCGAACGGCAGCACAGUAAGAGCUUGCUCUUACGGGUGGCGAGUGGCGGACGGGUGAGGAAUACAUCGGAAUCUACUUUUUCGUGGGGGAUAACGUAGGGAAACUUACGCUAAUACCGCAUACGACCUACGGGUGAAAGCAGGGGAUCUUCGGACCUUGCGCGAUUGAAUGAGCCGAUGUCGGAUUAGCUAGUUGGCGGGGUAAAGGCCCACCAAGGCGACGAUCCGUAGCUGGUCUGAGAGGAUGAUCAGCCACACUGGAACUGAGACACGGUCCAGACUCCUACGGGAGGCAGCAGUGGGGAAUAUUGGACAAUGGGCGCAAGCCUGAUCCAGCCAUACCGCGUGGGUGAAGAAGGCCUUCGGGUUGUAAAGCCCUUUUGUUGGGAAAGAAAAGCAGCAGGUUAAUACCCCGCUGUUCUGACGGUACCCAAAGAAUAAGCACCGGCUAACUUCGUG
rnacentral:rRNA from 1 species